rnacentral:rRNA from 1 species
UACGUAGGGUGCAAGCGUUAAUCGGAAUUACUGGGCGUAAAGCGUGCGCAGGCGGUGAUGUAAGACAGAUGUGAAAUCCCCGGGCUCAACCUGGGAACUGCAUUUGUGACUGCAUCGCUGGAGUGCGGCAGAGGGGGAUGGAAUUCCGCGUGUAGCAGUGAAAUGCGUAGAUAUGCGGAGGAACACCGAUGGCGAAGGCAGCCCCCUGGGCCAACACUGACGCUCAGGCACGAAAGCGUGGGGAGCAAACAGG